CUCCCAAAGUGCUGGGAUUACAGGCGUGAGCCACCGCGCCCAGCCAGGCCAAUUGUCUUCUUGCCCUUGUACAAUUUCCUCCCCAUUAAGUGUGGAAUAGACUUAACCAAUUUGUUUCUAAGGAGUAGACUAUAACAAAAAUGACAGGAUGUCACUUCUGAGAUUAGGUUGCAAAAAGACUUUGGUUUCCAUCUUGGUUGCUCUCUCAUUCAGGUCAUUACCUGCCAGAGGUGGCUUCAAAGGUUUGUAAUCUAUGCAGUCAAGACAGAGUCCUGGGCUUAGAAGGACUUUGCACUUCGUUUAAUGCUUUGCUGUCACUGUCUUGAAAUUCUGAAUAAUUUUUGAACUAAGGGCCCUGUGUUUUUAUUUUGUAUUGGGCCCAACACAUAUAGUUGGUCCUGCCAGCUGCCAUGUUGUGAAUAUGGAGAAGCCAGAAUGGGGAGGAACUCAGGCCUGCCAACAGCUGCAUGAGUGAGCCUGGAAGCAGAUCCUCCAGCCUCAGUAGACCCUUGAGAUAACUGCAAUCUCACGAGAGACCUCGAACCAGAGUGCUGUGCUAGAGUUGGAUUUCAGCCACAGCUUGUUCAUGUUCUUGACCUCUUUUGUGCUAUCCACAACCUGCCCGAUCACAAGCUUCAACCCUGCCUGUUGAGCCUCAGAAAAAUAGAGAAAUGGAGCACAAGUAAUUGUUUACCCUGGGCACGUGGACAAGGUCUGAUACAUUGUCUUUGGAUGAACAGGCUUCAUAUCUUCCUUACCUUGGGGAACUUGCACAAGGCCAACACUUAUACCAGCAAGU